rnacentral:lncRNA from 1 species
AGAGCCAAAAUCCAAACAGACAACCAACCCUUCCUGACCAGAGUGCUGAGCUCAAGGAACACCACACGCAGAAACAAGCCAAGCACCCAGAAUCCCAACGGCCUCGGACUGACCCCAGAAUGGCUGGUGGUGCAGAAUGUGUGAAACCCCGUGAGUCCUGAGAGUGAAGCCCUGGCCCUUUGGGCGCCGCCUAACAGUGAUGCGUAUCGAGUCAGCCAUUCCUCUGCACUGUGAGGCUCAGCUUGGACCCUUUCUUAGCUAUCGUUUUAAAUGUUGUCUCACUUUUCUCAAUUGUUCCAUGGAGAUUCCCCAAGCCUCUUUCAGGAGGAGAGAAACAGCAAUGACCUCACACGGGUGGAGUGAACAAGCUUCAGCAAUAGUGCUGUGGAAGGGCGGCACGCUGACGGCUGGGGUGAACUGGGGCCGUUAGCAGUCGUACUGGGAUGCUUCGCAGUUAAGUUGGGGCCUCACUGAAUGUUAACCUUUAUGCUACACUGAGUGUUCAGUGCAAACCGAAACUGUAAUGGUAUGCUCCUAAGUGUACGUGAAAUAGGUAAUACAUUACAACAACAACAACAACAAC